GAUGAACGCUGGCGGCGUGCCUAAUACAUGCAAGUCGAGCGAACAGAUAAGGAGCUUGCUCCUUUGACGUUAGCGGCGGACGGGUGAGUAACACGUGGGUAACCUACCUAUAAGACUGGGAUAACUUCGGGAAACCGGAGCUAAUACCGGAUAACAUUUGGAACCGCAUGGUUCCAAAGUGAAAGAUGGUUUUGCUAUCACUUAUAGAUGGACCCGCGCCGUAUUAGCUAGUUGGUAAGGUAACGGCUUACCAAGGCGACGAUACGUAGCCGACCUGAGAGGGUGAUCGGCCACACUGGAACUGAGACACGGUCCAGACUCCUACGGGAGGCAGCAGUAGGGAAUCUUCCGCAAUGGGCGAAAGCCUGACGGAGCAACGCCGCGUGAGUGAUGAAGGGUUUCGGCUCGUAAAACUCUGUUAUUAGGGAAGAACAAAUGUGUAAGUAACUGUGCACGUCCUGACGGUACCUAAUCAGAAAGCCACGGCUAACUACGUG
rnacentral:rRNA from 1 species